rnacentral:rRNA from 1 species
UACGAAGGGGGCUAGCGUUGUUCGGAAUUACUGGGCGUAAAGCGCGCGCAGGCGGCUAUCCAAGUCAGGGGUGAAAGCCCGGAGCUCAACUCCGGAACUGCCAUUGAAACUGUUUAGCUUGAGGAUGAGAGAGGUGAGUGGAAUUCCCAGUGUAGAGGUGAAAUUCGUAGAUAUUGGGAAGAACACCGGUGGCGAAGGCGGCUCACUGGCUCAUUACUGACGCUCAGGCGCGAUAGCGUGGGGAUCAAACAGG